CUACGGGUGGCACCAGUGAGGAAUAUUGCACAAUGGGGGGAACCCUGAUGCAGCAACGCCGCGUGGAGGAUGACGCAUUUCGGUGUGUAAACUCCUUUUAUAUGUCAAGAAAAUGACGGUAGCAUAUGAAUAAGCACCGGCUAACUCCGUGCCAGCAGCCGCGCUAAUACGGAGGGUGCAAGCGUUACUCGGAAUCACUGGGCGUAAAGGACGCGUAGGCGGGUUGGAAAGUCAGGUGUGAAAUCCUACAGCUUAACUGUAGAACUGCACUUGAAACUUCUAAUCUAGAGUAUGGGAGGGGGAGAUGGAAUUGGUGGUGUAGGGGUAAAAUCCGUAGAUAUCACUAGGAAUACCUAAAGCGAAGGCGAUCUCCUGGAACAUUACUGACGCUAAGGCGUGAAAGCGUGGGGAGCAAACAGGAUUAGAUACCCCUGUAGUC
rnacentral:rRNA from 1 species